rnacentral:rRNA from 1 species
UGGGGAAUAUUGCGCAAUGGAGGCAACUCUGACGCAGCCAUGCCGCGUGUGUGAAGAAGGCCCUAGGGUUGUAAAGCACUUUCAAUUGGGAGGAAAGGUUGUAGGUUAAUAGCCUGCAACUGUGACGUUACCUUUAGAAGAAGCACCGGCUAACUCCGUGCCAGCAGCCGCGGUAAUACGGAGGGUGCGAGCGUUAAUCGGAAUUACUGGGCGUAAAGCGCGCGUAGGCGGUUAAUUAAGUCGGAUGUGAAAGCCCCGGGCUCAACCUGGGAACUGCAUUCGAUACUGGUUAACUAGAGUACGAGAGAGGGAGGUAGAAUUCCACGUGUAGCGGUGAAAUGCGUAGAUAU